CGUGCUGAACAGCCCCGGAUCCUCUCUCCAGCACCUCCAUGUCCUCCUUGGAGAGAAGGGCCCAGCCCUGGGCACAGCGGUAGAGGUCUCUUCCAGCUGAAAGGAUCCCAUGACACAGCUCAGCCUGGGAUGGAUCUGCCUCCUCUAAAAGCAUCCUCAGCCCUUGGGCAGCUUCCCACGAAGUCUCAAAGUCGAGCAGUGGAGGCUGUUUUGACUGGAAGCAUAAUUGGCAGCGAGCCCUCCCUGCCCUUCUCUCAAUCCACAACAAUCUUGGUGAUCUUUUUCCCUCCCAUCUCA